rnacentral:rRNA from 1 species
UGAGGAAUAUUGGUCAAUGGGCGAGAGCCUGAACCAGCCAAGUAGCGUGAAGGAUGACUGCCCUACGGGUUGUAAACUUCUUUUAUAAGGGAAUAAAGUAUUCUACGUGUAGAGUUUUGUAUGUACCUUAUGAAUAAGCAUCGGCUAACUCCGUGCCAGCAGCCGCGGUAAUACGGAGGAUGCGAGCGUUAUCCGGAUUUAUUGGGUUUAAAGGGAGCGUAGACGGCCGUUUAAGUCAGCUGUGAAAUGGUGCGGCUCAACCGUAGCACUGCAGUUGAAACUGGACGGCUUGAGUGCAGUUGAGGCAGGCGGAAUUCGUGGUGUAGCGGUGAAAUGCUUAGAUAUCACGAAGAACCCCGAUUGCGAAGGCAGCCUGCUAAGCUGCAACUGACGUUGAGGCUCGAAAGUGUGGGUAUCAAACAGG